rnacentral:rRNA from 1 species
ACUCAAAUGAAUAGACGGGGACCCGCACAAGCGGUGGAGCGUGUUGUUUAAUUCGAUGAUAAGCGAAGAACCUUACCAAGGCUUGACAUCCCUGGAAUCUCCUCGAAAGAAGAGAGUGCCUUCGGGAAUCAGGUGACAGGUGAUGCAUGGCCGUCGUCAGCUCGUGUCGUGAGAUGUUUGGUUAAGUCCAUCAACGAGCGCAACCCUUGUGAAUAGUUGAAUUUUUCUAUUCAGACUGCCUCGGUAACGGGGAGGAAGGAGGGGAUGAUGUCAGGUCAGUAUUUCCCUUACGCCUUGGGCUACAAACACGCUACAAUGGCCGGUACAAAGGGCUGCCAACCCGCGAGGGGGAGCAAAUCCCAUCAAAGCCGGUCCCAGUUCGGAUAGCAGGCUGAAACUCGCCUGCUUGAAGUCGGAAUCGCUAGUAACGGUGAGUCAGCUAUAUUACCGUGAAUACGUUCCCGGGUCUUGUACACACCGCCCGU